ACAUUUACAAAAUCCUUGAUAACAAUAUUCAACUAAAUGAGGUGGACAAAGACCAAGACAAUCUCCUCUCCAUAUACAUGGACGUUCCAUAUUUGAGCCUUGAAGUUUUGCUCCAACAUUAACAACAUCCAUUUCAGCCAAUACUGUAAUUAAGAAAAAGAACAAAAUAUUGUUAAGUGCAAUUCAUAAGAUUUCAAACCUUAUAAGGAAUAAAAUAUGCCAAAAUUUCAUAUCAAGGACAAAGAUGAAGAAUAACCGUAGGUACUCAGCAUCAAAAAGGCAUAAAACGAAAAUUUAAUCAAAAGAUUCAUGGUAUCGUGGUAUGGUAACUUUGAGAGAGC
rnacentral:lncRNA from 1 species